GAUCCCGCCCAAUUCCCCCAAUAUUCAUAUGUUCCCUCCAAGUGCCAUUCACUUUCCCCAAUCUCCAUCUUCUCAGAAAUCCCGCCCUUUCCAUCCAUUCCCUGAAGACGUGGAGUCGAGCUACCCUUCACUUCGGUCUCUUUCAUCUCCAUCGAUGAUGACCGAUCCACUCUCCAAGUCGCCGCUAACGUUCUCCUCACCGGCGCCAUAUCCACCUUCCUCCUCCGCUUCUCCCGUCGCCGAGGAAAGUGCCAAAGAACUGGAAACUUCAAAUCACACCCUAAUUUCGUCUCCACUGAAACUGCUAUUGAGAAGAAGGUUGUGAUCAUCAAAAUUGGCAUUAGAGGGAGGUAGUUGUUGUUAAUUGUUACUUUUUGGUUGUUUGGUUGUGAAAAACUUUGUAUUAUUACUGUGAUUUUGCAGAUGCUAUGUACAAUAUGCUCAAGUUUGAAAUGGUAAAGUUGAUGGAAUUUUUCUGUCUUUCUCCCUCAUUAAAUUCGUCAUCCAUUUUAUUUUCUUUUGAUUUGUACAAAGAAAGACUUUCAGUCAUUGUAGGGCCUUUGUGUUACUUUCCAUAUUUUGUAGUAAAUAAGCUCUCACUUCUGUUUGUAGGUAAUUCUGAUGUAUGAACUUGCUUUUCACAUUAAUUUCCAUUGUGCAUUUGUGUGUAACAAUCUUGGAGUUAUUUAUAAAGACCGAACAACCUUGAUAAAGAUGUGGAGUCUCAUCAGGUAUUUCAUCUCAGCAUUGCAGGUAUUGGUGUUUAAUGAUUAAUAUUGUAGAGUUUUUUUUUUCUGAUAGAUUUUUGUUCUUUUGGUGUUGGCUUCGUCAAAUAAUCCAAGUGUCUCACAAUUGUUGAACAACGUUGGAGUCCUCUACACAGUGCAAGUAUAAUUUAAUCAAUCAACAUCUAAUAGAACAAUAUCGUUCAACUAUCGCUUUCAGAAUUGUAGAUUAAUAUAUAGGGCAAAAUGGAUGUUGCUGCUAGCAUGAUAAAGAUAGAGAUUGUGGUGAAUCCUACUUAUGCAGAAGCCUAAAAUAACUUAGGCAAUUUCUACGGUUCCGAUUGCACGUAUGAAUUGAAGACGUCAAGACAUUGGUUCAUGAAGUUAUUGUAUAUCACUUUCAUAUGUAGAGAUAUAUGUAUUUGUGUUAUUGAAACUUUUGUAAUUUUAUUUUACUUUAAAUCCUUUGUAAUUUACAUUCUUGGGUUAUUUUAUAUUGGUUUUAGUUUAA